rnacentral:rRNA from 1 species
UACGGGGGGGGCAAGCGUUGUUCGGAAUUACUGGGCGUAAAGGGCUCGUAGGCGGCCAACUAAGUCGGAUGUGAAAUCCCCAGGCUCAACCUGGGAACUGCAUCCGAUACUGGAUGGCUUGAAUUCGGGAGAGGGAUGCAGAAUUCCAGGUGUAGCGGUGAAAUGCGCAGAUAUCAGGAGGAACACCGAUGGCGAAGGCAGGUCUCUGGGCAUUAACUGACGCUGAGGAGCGAAAGCAUGGGGAGCGAACAGG